UGGUGAGGUAGACCUGGAUGAUGCUCCGGCA
rnacentral:piRNA from 1 species